AUAAGAACUUUCAUAUUUUCUGUUUUGUUUUUGUGAUUAUAACCAUACAAAGAUUAUUUUGGUAUUGAAUACUGAUUGGAUUUGUUAUGUCUAAUGCAGAUUUUCAUUGGUCUAUGUCACUUACGGAUUGAAUUUGUCAUGUUUCGCCGUGUUGGCCCCUAUGUCACUUCCGAGAAUGUCAAGGAACGAAUCCACCGCCGUCGUCUCUGUUGUCACGCCGGAGAAGACCAUUAUUUCCAAAUGCGGCGAUUCACGUGAUAUGCUUUGCCGUGACGGCGUAGCCAGUCCUCUCUCCGUGGAUCACAAGUGAUGAACAGCCGGAUCGACCCGAUGAAUUGAUUCGGAUCCAGCAAGCAGGUGGGCGGGUUAUUAUUGGGAUGUAGCUAAGGUUCUUGGAGUUCUUGCCAUGUCUAGAGCAAUUGGCCAUAUUUACUUGAAACCAUAUGACGACGACGACGGAUCCGAAAGUAAUAGUGACAGAUGGAACCGACGACGACGAGUGUUUGAUCUUGGCGAGUGAUGGACUAUGGGUCGUUGUACCAAAUGAGACAGCGUUAUGGCAUGGCUCGCGUGUGCCCUCGAGGUACUGGUAGAGCGGAUGGUGAUGAUUCCGUUGCAGCAGCGACACACAAUGCUUGCUCUGAUGCUUCGUUGCUAUUAACGAAGUUGGCUCUAGCAAGACCGACCUUCGAUAACGUGAGUGUUGUGGUCCUGUGGUUGACAGGAGGAAGAGGAGGAAUAAUCAACCAUCGUCAUAAUAUUUAGUGUUUAAUUAGUAUUAGUAUUAGAGAAAUUUUCACAUAGCCUAAUUGUAAUUUUUAUAUCAAGUUAUCCUUUUCCCCUUUUUCAAUAUUUGGUUUGUAUAUUGUUUUUUCAAUUUGAUCCUAAUCUGGAUUUGAUAACA